AGUGAACGCUGGCGGUAGGCCUAACACAUGCAAGUCGAACGGAAGCACAGUAAGAGCUUGCUCUUACGGGUGGCGAGUGGCGGACGGGUGAGGAAUACAUCGGAAUCUACUUUUUCGUGGGGGAUAACGUAGGGAAACUUAAGAUAAUACCGCAUACGACCUACGGGUGAAAGCAGGGGAACUUCGGACCUUGCGCGAUUGAAUGAGCCGAUGUGGGAUUAGCUAGUUGGCGGGGUAAAGGCCCACCAAGGCGGCGAUACGUAGCUGGUCUGUGAGAAUGGUCGGCCGCACUGGAACGUGAGCACGAUCCCGGGUCCUAAGGGACGGAACAGUGGGGAAAGUUGGGCAAUGGGGGCCAACCUUGCCCAACCGGCCCAAGCCGGUUGAGGAAACCCUCCGGGUGGGAAGCCCUUUUGUUGGGUAAAAAAAGCAUCAGGCUGAUACCCCGCGGUUCUGACGGUAACCGGAAAAGAAGCACCGGCUAACUACGUG
rnacentral:rRNA from 1 species